rnacentral:rRNA from 1 species
GACGAACGCUGGCGGCGUGCUUAACACAUGCAAGUCGAACGGAAAGGCCCUGCUUUUGUGGGGUGCUCGAGUGGCGAACGGGUGAGUAACACGUGAGUAACCUGCCCUUGACUUUGGGAUAACUUCAGGAAACUGGGGCUAAUACCGGAUAGGAGCUCCUGCUGCAUGGUGGGGGUUGGAAAGUUUCGGCGGUUGGGGAUGGACUCGCGGCUUAUCAGCUUGUUGUUGGGGUAGUGGCUUACCAAGGCUUUGACGGGUAGCCGGCCUGAGAGGGUGACCGGCCACAUUGGGACUGAGAUACGGCCCAGACUCCUACGGGAGGCAGCAGUGGGGAAUAUUGCACAAUGGGAGGAAGCCUGAUGCAGCAACGCCGCGUGCGGGAUGACGGCCUUCGGGUUGUAAACCGCUUUCGCCUGUGACGAAGCGUGAGUGACGGUAAUGGGUAAAGAAGCACCGGCUAACUACGUG